rnacentral:misc_RNA from 1 species
AAUAUAUAAUAUUUCUUUGAUAUCUGAUACAUGAUACAUUCUCUGAACACUUUCACAAAAAGAUAACAAAGAAUUGUCGUUAUUCAUAACAAAUAUCCUACAGAAGAGUGAUACAUCAAAACUAAAGUGAACUCUUAAUUAUAUUCCGAACAAUGAAAUUCAACUCGGUCAGAAUUUCCUCAGCUCUUGUCAAAGGUUCAAGAUUUGUCAUCUGACGGACAAUUUAAACAUUCCUACAUAAACUCGUACUCCCAUGGUGGCAAUAAUAAAACAAAGCAUUGUUUGGUCGAGCCGUGGCCGAUCCAUAGUCAGCCACAUAUCGUGCAAUUAAAAAAGCCAGUGGUACUCUCUCAUAUAUACUUCGCGAUAGUAAAUAUACAUAUAUUGGCUAAUAAAGUAUUUGAACAACAAUACAAACUUUUGAUAAAUAUAUUAUGCACGUUGUACAAACAAUGAAUAUAUUGGUGAGGUUUGAAAUGUACAGAUGGUACAAUGUAU